rnacentral:lncRNA from 1 species
CCUCUUGGCCCUGUUCAUCUCCCCUGUGGUUUCGUGUUGCCCCUGGCCUGCCCUGACUGGGCUGCUCUGAUCCGUCGGGUAGGUGCCUGGCACGGGGCUCUGCAAGUGCCCAGCCAGAUGUGGCCGUAUCCGGGCGCUGGGGAAGAGAGUCCCGGGCAUUAGGUAGCUUACCCGGGGCUCUUAGGGGGCAGUGCCCUCUCACUUGGGCCAAGUGUCCAGAUCGUGGAGUAAGAGCCGUAAAACCAGAAGUGCCACAAUCCAUGGAAAGCCAGACACCGCAUUGUUUCAGUGAAACCACCAAGUCUAUCUGAAAGGUAGGAAUGAACGAAGAAGGAAGACACUGGAGAAAAAUCCAAGGGCGUUCAGGGAAACAAACUCUCUCCACAGAGAUAAUUGGUAAGAACAGAUAAACAACUGGACAUCAUGGGCACCAUUUUGGCUCCAGCGAAUCUCUCUUUCUCUCUCUCUCUCUCUCUCUCCUGUCAAAGUUUAGCUUGUUUUUACCGUUGAUUGGAAGUGGUGAAGGUUUCUGAUACGAACGCAGUGGCUAGGAGCAGCAGUGCUGUCUGUGGCAGACGGACGCUUUCGAUUUUAAUCAUGAGUGGCGGAAGGAAGCGGCCGGGGCUGGAGAAUCGAGCUGGAGAAAAAGUGACAGGGAAAGGACUGUCGUGAUAGAAUUGAUGUCAGAGAUCUCCUGUGGCAUCAUCAACACCUUUCCUGAGAGAAUGGUGAGAUAUCAGUCUGGUCAACCCUUCGAGAUCAUAAUGGAAUGGACAAUUUAUGGUAAUUAAAAAUUUAAUGAUGAUUUAACAUUUUAUAAGGAGUGAUAAUAAUAAUAGUGGUAUUUGUUAAGCUCUAUGUGCCAGGCACUGUACUGAACACUGGGGUAGAUACAAACUAAUGAGGUUGAACACAGUCCCUGUCCCACAGUCUUAAUCCCCAUUUUAUAGAUGAGGUAAUGAAGGCACAGAGAAGUGGAGUGACUUGCCCAAGGUCACACAGCAGACAAGUGGCAGAGCUGGGAUCAAAAUCCAGAACCUUCUGAUUCCCAGGACUGGACUCUAUCCCCUAGGCCACGCUGCUUCUCCACACGAUGAUAAGUUUAGCACCAGUAAGCGCCUUGUGGAGAGAGUAGACAUUUUGGACUUCUACUGUACUUUCCCAAGCAUUUAGUGCAGCAUGUUGUACCCAG